rnacentral:rRNA from 1 species
CGAAAAGUGAAGCGACCCCGCGAGGGCAAGCCAACCACAGAAAAGCCAUCUCAGUUCGGAUUGUAGUCUGCAACCCGACUACAUGAAGCUGGAAUCGCUAGUAAUCGCGAAUCAGAAUGUCGCGGUGAAUACGUUCCCGGGUCUUGUACACACCGCCCGUCACACCAUGGGAGCCGGAUAUGCCCGAAGCCGGUGACCUAACCGUAAGGAGGGAGCUGUCGAAGGUGGAGCCGAUGACUGGGGUGAAGUCGUAACAAGGUAGC